UCAUCAACUAAUGAAACAUCCCUCAUCGUUUUUCUGGGAAAAUGAACUGCAUAGAAAUCUUUUUCGUCGUUUGCUUCACACUGACGAUUGUGCAGUGUAGCGCAGAGGAUAAUGGUUGUCCGGCCGGCGUCAACCCUGGCGAGUCCUGGUUUGAAGAGGGUUGUAUCAAGUGCGACUGUUACGAAGAUUGGUCGGGAUGCGUCAACUGCCCUACGAUGGCCGUGGAAGAUAACUGUGAGGUCUUCUACGACACAGAGGGAGACUAUCCCGAUUGUUGUACACCAAGGGUAGUCUGUAAUGAAGAGAAGAAAUAAACAGUGUAAUGUAGAACACGGACUCAUCUGAAAUAAAGAUAUACUGCAAACAGUA